rnacentral:tRNA from 1 species
GGCGCCGUAGCCAAGUGGACUAAGGCGGAGGUCUGCAAAACCUCUAUUCGGCGGUUCGAAUCCGCCCGGCGCCUCCA